GAUGAAGAACGCAGCGAAAUGCGAUAAGUAAUGUGAAUUGCAGAAUUCAGUGAAUCAUCGAAUCUUUGAACGCACAUUGCGCCCCUUGGUAUUCCGAGGGGCAUGCCUGUUCGAGCGUCAUUAUAACCCCUCAAGCUCAGCUUGGUGUUGGGGCCUGCUGCACUGGCAGCCCUUAAAAUCAGUGGCGGCGCCAUCUGGCUCUAAGCGUAGUAAUUCUUCUCGCUAUGGAGUCCUGGUGGAUGCUUGCCAUCAAUCCCCAAUUUUUCUAUGGUUGACCUCGGAUCAGGUAGGGAUACCCGCUGAACUUAAGCAUAUCAAUAAGCGGAGGA
rnacentral:misc_RNA from 1 species